CGAAGAAGAAGACCAAGAACUUUAUGAAAUCUGGCAGGGAAUCUUGGAAGAUGCAGCGGCAGAAUCUUUUGGAGCUCAGGAGGGUGAGGACCGCGGCCUUGACACACUGCCUCUAGCAAUAUGGAACUAUACAGAGCCCGGGAACAUGCAUAUCAGGAAUCCUCCCGCUGUGAGAACGCAUCAACCCAGCCAUGUUACUAUGCAGAAUUUCCUAGGACUACAAGUGGAUGAUUCAGAUUACAUACCAGCAAGGAAAAGACGUUCUGCUAUGAAAGGCCUUGUCAGAGCGGGGGUAUAUGGAAUUUUAAAAUACUGCCUGAAGAAUUACAUGUAUGAUUCAUGCUACGGGUGUAUGGUUCAAGCAGGGGGG